ensembl:misc_RNA Gm27627 predicted gene, 27627
GCAUGGUGUGAUUAACCUACUAACCAACCCAGGGCUCGGCCAGGACGCUGUGGCACGCGACGAGAUGCCUGGCCUUCUGUCAACCGACUAAUCCACUAACCUGGCCCGAGCAUGUCCUACUAACCCCGCAGCAGCCAAACCCUACUAACU